CCCCUUUUAAAAAUGGCUGGAUCCGCCUCUGAUGUUAGUAGCUAUCUGACAUUAUUUUAGCAACUUGUUUUCUACACUGCAAAAGAAUUUAAGUGUCAGACAAGAAUGGGAUAUAUAUACACCUGCUUAGUGUUAUAUUUUUCAAAAAUAUUUAUUUUGAUUCAGAUAAAAUAACUUACUUGAAAGUAGAUAACCAAACAAACUUUAGCUUACAUUUUAACUGCUAUUAUAACUACAUUUGGUUUAACGCAGCAAAUUUAAUUAUUUUUACAAGACCAUUAUUCAGUAUUGUAGCCUAUUUCACAGAUGAGUGUUACAGUUGAAUACCUCUCUCUAAAUAGAUAUGUUUGAAAGGCAAUUAAAAUUAAACGUGUUUCAAACCAUAAAAAAUCUCUUGAUUUAGUUUAAAAUCUUGUUUAUAUAAUUGUUGACGUUGAUUUUUAGAAUUAACGAUACGUAAAUAAGGAUAUAUAGGAUACAUAAACAAUUAUGUAAAUGUUGAAUUUUAUUGUUCAACCAAGUAUAUAUCCCCUUGAACUAUGACAUUAUGCAGGGUAUUUCCAACAAUAACAACAAUAUUGCGUUAUUCUCUAAACAAAAAUCAAAGGUACAGAGAAUGACACGCAAAAAAGAUAUAUUUGGGGUGUUUAACGACCUUGUCUACCCAUGAGGCUCUCGCACGGUGGGUAAACAAAAAAGAUGUACAAAUAAUACAUAGUAUUAAAGAGAUAUCAGGGAUGUUAGUACAUACACGUACAUAUCGAACCAGCUUAGAAAUAACCACUCCAUAAGAAGAAGGAGCCGAAAUUUAUUCGUUGAGGACUAACAGUUAUUGGAGAAAACCAAUGUAGCAACGGACUAAGUGUUUUGAAUGUCUGUUUCUGUCAUCAAGGAUGGACUGGAAGCGACUGUUCUAUUGAUAUCGACGAAUGUAGCAGAGCUGCCACAAGUCCUUGUGGUGAGAGAGGAACGUGUGUAAAUACACCAGGAAGUUUUCAUUGUGAUUGCAAAAAGUCAUACGUUGGAGUGAAAUGCGAACUAAAAUUACAUAGUUCCAAUAUUAGAAAACGGUUGGUUUUAGGAGGUAGUUUUGCAACACCUCCACCACCAACGUCAACUGUAAAACAAACGACAAAUUCACCCCCUCCUUUCACGACAAAAGCGCCACCUAUACCACAGGGCAUCAAAACGCCUCAACAAAUCACAGAACAGCAGGUGUCACAAGCAACGACAAUUACAAAGGCUCCACCACCAAUAGGAUAAAAUUAAGAACAGAAUGGACAUUCUUGUCCGGAUGAUGUUUUAAUUUUGAAUUUUUUACUUAAUAAAACAUUUGUAUAUGCAUUGUGUUUAGCAUAAUUUUUGCGUUUACAACAGUUCUUGAAAUGAAUAAAUUAUCAGAUAUAA